rnacentral:snRNA from 1 species
GUGCUCGCUUUGGCAGUACAUAUACUGAAACUGGAAUGAUACAGAGAAGAUUAGCAUGGCCCUGUGCAAGGACAACACGCAAAUUCAUGAAGCGUUCCAUAUGAAA